rnacentral:lncRNA from 1 species
UACUUUUGAGACAUAACUGAUAACUGAGAUCCAAAAAAAAAAAACACGUCAUACGUUAAACACCUACGCAAUAGUUUAGCAUUUUAACAAUAACGCCAGUCGCGCGGUUUACAGUCCAAAAUACGGUUUUCAUACGCGUAUGAUUCGGUUCCUGUGGUUGCUGAUAUAGUUUAGACACACUAACUGGAGAAAAUUGAAAGAGAAAAUAUGGUUAGAGAAGCAAAUUCUUUAACUCUAAGAAGUUGAGCAUAUUUGAAUUGUUUUUGAUUUGAUGG